rnacentral:rRNA from 1 species
CAAAGAACUUUGAAGAGAGAGUUCAAGAGUACGUGAAACUGCUGAGAGGCARACUGGUGGGCCCUCGAAAUCCCGUUUGCGGGGAGAUUCAGUCGGGUGUCGGCGGCCGUCUCUAAAAUGGGUCUGUCGCAACCGAAGAUCGGGGCACAUUCCGAGGGACGAGUUCCGCUGGAACCCGACGCAUUUCCCGCCCGCACGAAAGGACGCCGCAGCCGGUCGGGUAGCUGCGCGUGUCGGCCAUGAGGACGUUGCAACGGCAGGUGACCGGCGGCCCCAGGCUUCUCCGGAGGCACUGACGGUCGACGGUUGAUUAGCCGGCUCGUCCGUGGCGCGACACCCGACCGAGGUAAUAGAGAGAACGGGCGUUCUCCACGGAGAUACGUUCCCGAGUCUGCAAUCCACUACUUUCAAACGAGAGAGCGAGCCGUCGGACAGGCGCGUUCCUGCGUGGUCGGACAGUCACCGCACUGGUCGAUCUGGUGGGAGCGCGUCGUUAGUACCGAGUCAGGAUCUCGCGGAGGAUGAAGGCUGGCGGCGAGUAGGUCGGUAACCCACCCGACCCGUCUUGAAACACGGACCAAGGAGUCUAACAUGUGCGCAAGUCGCGGGGUCUUGUUCAGGCCCAAAGGCGAAAUGAAAGUGAAGGCCGCCGCUUCCCCUUAUUCAGUUAGGGGCGGAGUGAGGCGGCCGGGUUGGGAUCCGCACGUGACACGGCACGUGACGAAGCACCAACGGCCCGCCCUGUUCUAUUUUCUCAAUAGGAACUCAAACGGAGUUUGAGCGCACACGUUGGGACCCGAAAGAUGGUGAACUAUGCCUGGGCAGGACGAAGCCAGAGGAAACUCUGGUGGAGGUCCGCAGCGGUUCUGACGUGCAAAUC